rnacentral:rRNA from 1 species
UACGGAGGGGGCUAGCGUUGUUCGGAAUUACUGGGCGUAAAGCGCACGUAGGCGGCUUUGUAAGUUAGAGGUGAAAGCCCGGGGCUCAACCCCGGAAUUGCCUUUGAGACUGCAUCGCUUGAACGUCGGAGAGGUGAGUGGAAUUCCGAGUGUAGAGGUGAAAUUCGUAGAUAUUCGGAAGAACACCAGUGGCGAAGGCGGCUCACUGGACGACUGUUGACGCUGAGGUGCGAAAGCGUGGGGAGCAAACAGG